UGGGGAAUCUUGCGCAAUGGCCUAACGGCUGACGCAGCGACGCCGCGUGAGGGAUGACGCUCUUCGGAGUGUAAACCUCUUUUGCCCGGGACGAACUGCCAGUUUUCACUGGCUUGACGGUACCGGGUGAAUAAGCACCGGCUAACUCCGUGCCAGCAGCCGCGGUAAUACGGGGGGUGCGAGCGUUGUCCGGAAUCACUGGGCGUAAAGGGCGCGUAGGUGGUCUGAUAAGGGUGUGGUGAAAGCCCGGGGCUCAACCCCGGGUCGGCCGUGCCGACUGUUGGACUAGAGUGCUGUAGGGGCAGGCGGAAUUCCGGGUGUAGCGGUGAAAUGCGUAGAGAUCCGGAGGAAGACCGGUGGCGAAGGCGGCCUGCUGGGCAGUUACUGACACUGAGGCGCGACAGCGUGGGGAGCAAACAGGAUUAGAUACCCUGGUAGUCCACGCCGUAAACGAUGGGUACUAGGUGCCUGGGGGAG
rnacentral:rRNA from 1 species